UGAGGAAUAUUGGUCAAUGGGCGAGAGCCUGAACCAGCCAAGUCGCGUGAGGGAAGACGGUCCUAUGGAUUGUAAACCUCUUUUGCCGGGGAGCAAAGAGCGGUACGUGUACCGCGCCGAGAGUACCCGGAGAAAAAGCAUCGGCUAACCUCCGUGCC
rnacentral:rRNA from 1 species